CCUCUUCUCGCUUCUCCUCUUGCUUCUGUCAUCAUCAUCGUCGACAUCAUCUGAUGCUUGUCGUAGGUAUGUCUGAAGAUCUUGAUCCUACUCUCAUCUUGAUCUUACUCUCAUCUAAGCAGGGAAAUGAUAGCGAGGCUCAAUAUUGGGCGCAAUAAUUUUCAUCCUUCCUCCCAAACCCUUCCAUGGUCCUGAAACCCAAACCGUCGUCUUCUCGCUUCUCCUCUUGCUUCUGUCAUCAUCAUCGUCAACAUCAUCUGAUGCUUGUCGUAGGUAUGUCUGAAGAACUUUAUCUCACUCUCAUCUUGGUUUCAGACAUGUAGUAUCCGGAACUGGGUCUCUGUGUUCUGCUUGAUGGGCUGCACCGAUCGUUUGAUACGCAGUUAGCUUUCGUGUGAUUGAAAUGAUGAGAUUAUAGAUUUUUUUAAACUACCAUUUUUUCGUUCUUUUUUUCUUUUUUCUUAUAUGUUUAUAAUCGUUUAAGCAGCGUUCUUUGUAUACUCAUCAUCGAGCUGUUCAUAAGGGGGGAAAAGUAGACUUUUUUUUUUUUUUUUUGCAGAAACCUUGAUUAGUUUUCCUUCACUGGUUGCUUUUACAAAGCCAAGAUGGCACUUUUUCUUUUUCUUAUAUCUCAUUGCAAUCAUCUACAUGAUCAUUUUGGUGCCCGGUUAUCUUUCCAGAGAUAUUAACCGAAAAAAGGUUCUAAUCUGGUUAGGGUAGUUCAAUGGACUAACCUGCCAUGAGCAAUGCUUUCAUAGUUUUAUAUAGUCUAUUUCCUUUAACCUUCUUAAAAUUUCAGAAGAGCAGACUUGACGAGGAGCAGAGUGUCAGGCCGAACAAGUUAAAGAAAGUAGAAGUUUUAUGUGAAUGACUCUAAUCAAGGGCAGGGCAAAAGAGCUUUGUGGUAAAAAUUUGUGGCUAAGGCAAAAAAUGUCAACUUUGAUCGAUUGGAAUCUAAUGCUUCACAUGGUAAAUCUAGGAUAAUCUACUUGAAAUCUUGAACACAAAGUUUUUGCUGUCUUUCAUUUUAGGUCACGGAGAAUUUUCAUCCUCAUCUGAUAGGUCCUUAAUGAAUGCCCAGCAAAAAAUUAAUAAGAAUUCACUCUAGUCCUAUGCAUAUAAUUUUUGAUGAUGAUAUUGUGGGUGAAAAUUGAUUGGCUGAAUUUUCAGCGCAAGUUUCAUGUAGACUAAGUCAACUAUUGAGCUUGUAUAUGUUUAGCAUCCCCCAAUGUGAAUCUCUAACUACAUGUAUAUACUUGAGGUUGUCCUGAGCAAAACUAUCUCCUAUUCCUGUCACUUUGGAGCUGGACUUAUUGAUUGCUCAUUCAAAUCAUAAUUUAGUGCUCAUCUUUGUAUGAAAAAAAUUACGAGUUCAGAGGACUCUCCUUUGACAUAUGUGGAACAAAGAUAGAGAUACAGAUACCGGCAUGACAUGAUAGAAAUAUGCUGAUGUGUUAAGUCCUUAAUUUAGGCUGUCAUACAUCAGAAAUUUGGCAAGAGAUCUUUUUACAUAUACGGUACCAUAUAUUUCAAAUUUUGAAAUUUAUUUAUGAUGUUAACAUAGACAGUUAUACAUCACAAUGAAUAACUAGCAUCCUAUUCCAAUCAUAAAAAAAAAAGAGAAAAUUAUUCUAGGUCAUGGUUAAAAAUAUUGGAAUUCAUAUCCAUACCGAUCCCAGCUUGGAUCGGCACAUACUGUUACCACUUGGUACAACACAAUUAUAAAAUCGAAUCUAUGUUAUGUUGAUACACUAUUGUUAAGAAGUAAUAAAUGAAGCUAAUUUUUUAAAAAUUUUCAUUAAUUAAUAUCUAAUGCGUAAGAGCAACAGAUAGACAAUCUAUCUAAUCAUAUAUUAAUUUCUAUAUAUAUACAUUUGUGUAUACAUAUUAAAUCAUCAAUCAAACAGAAGUUCUCCCAAGAAGUGUCCAUAAAAAGAAUCCUGCAACUAUUUAAUUGCUGUAUACAUUCUUGAUGUUAAUAUUGAACUGUCCAUGUUCAUGGUUGGUCAUCCAUACCACUUGCUGAUGUGAUGAUACUUGAACCUGAAAAGUAAAAGGUUGUUUGUAAUCAGGUGUUAUUCUACGUCCACGUAAAGUGAUGCAUGGUGAUGUAUAUAGGAUGCAUAAUUUCCUCUUGUCCUACUGUUAUACCAUGUGAUGGUUACAGCAAUAACAAGUGUAUAUGCUGCAUAUGGACCACAAAAAGUGAUUUCUUUCAGAACAAUGUAUCUGUUCAUUUUUUCCUCAUAGGAAGGUUGUUGGAAGAUAAGCUCUUCCAGUGAUCACCAUAUGUGACUGGUAAAGGAUGCUAUGACAGUGAUGCAGUGACACAUUUUUACGCUUUCUCAAUUGACCAUCUCUAUGAUAUUGUGUCCUCGCCAUGUAAUUAGAGUUCUUUGUAGACCUUAGAUUUAUGCGGCUUUUACUAAUCCUCUCUACAGUCAUAGUUAUUUCUUAAUGUUAAAAUGGAGCAAUAAAUUUUUUCAGAAUAUGAUAUUUCAAGGAGUUCUUUCCUUUGAGAGUUGAGGGUAUGUGAAAUUUUAUUGGAAUCUAGUCCAGUCUUCCUCUUUUGUUCUUGUAGUGAAACAGGAUUGAUCAAUCAAAAUUUGUUUUUCUUUGAGAUAUGUUGAGUUUUAAAUAUGUGAUCCAUAUUUAGCCGAAUCCAUUCAUCUUCUUUAUUUUAAAAUCUUGAUGACUUUGAACCUGAAAAAUCGUGAUCCUUCUAAGAAACACUAAACUCGAUAAGUUCUACACUGAAUCAACUCGUUAUCUUUAUUUUUAAUGUCCUUGACAUGUCUGAAUUGACAUGGGCAACAACCAAGCAACAAUUGUUGAUCGAUUGAUGUGAGUUUGAUAAUAUGUUGAAGUUCUGUUUGAUCCGCAAAUUGGUCUCUCUUGGACUAUAUUUGUGCUGUCAAGCAUCCUUCUGUGAUGAUGUUAGAUGCUAACUUAAAAUGUUGACAUCAGAAAAUUGUUCUCAUCUGACAACACAAUUUUCAAGGUGAUGUGUUCAGGUAUUUCAUAAAUGAAUGUGAGAGAUUUUUGGAGAACUAUUCUACUAACAAUUCUCUCUAGAACAUUGGAUAUCUUCAAGAACUUCGUUUUAUAAGCAAACAAAUCACUGAACUCAUCACAUGUUCAUAUUUAGGAACAGAUCAUUAAAUCAAUGAUCUCUUCUAUUCUGCUAAACAAUAUUUGGCAGAAAUCAAUAGCACCUAGGAAUAGAUCUUGCCUGUCUCCUCUAUCAUUUAUUGAUCAUUGUUAUCUCCUCUUGGGAUCAUUGAGUUGCAGUGAACUUGGCUACACUAUCUUUGGGAAGAUAACAAUUUGAUAUCAGAAUUACAUCUGCAACGAUAACAUGGUUUUGUGGCCUCAGAUCUUCUAUUGGCUGUUGGUACUGUUUGUUGCCUCGCUGCAUUAUAUCAUUCUUCAGCUUUUUGAAGACGUCAAUUCAGAGAACAGUUCAAGAUUGGUUGGUCCUACUAAUGAGGUAUCAGAUUCAAAGAAUUCCCCUUUUAUUUAAAACAGUGGGGACAACGUUUUGUCAAUCUAGUUAUGUCUUGGACUUGUUACUUGUUUUUUCUCUCGUCCUCAACCAGCUCCUUUUUCUCCCUGGAUUUCAACUACUUGGACGUGUGCCAUAAAUGUUUGUCCAUUGUCAAUAUUAACUUUUGGGUUGUCUUCUUUCUCCAAAAACUUUUGUCUUGGUAGUGACAAGUGGUAGUGCUGACAAUGCUUAGGGCCUACAGGCUCCAUAAUGGUGGAAGAUUCAGCAGUAGCCAGUGAUGAUUUAGGGGUCGGCAAAAAUUUAUGAUCGGCACAACUUUUUGCCGACCCCUAAAUCAGAUCAAUUCCUAUUCCUCUAUGCAAAAAGUAAACUAGAGAUCCCUUAUUCCUUUAGAAGUUCCUGGUUAUAAAGUUUGGCAACACUGUAAUUUUAGCAUGGUUUAUUGUCAUGCAUAAAUUUUUUUCGUUGAUGCUAUGAUACAUAGGUUAAAAUCAUAAACUGUAGUACUUAUAUGUUGAUGAACAACUGUAGUUUCACUAGAUUGGUAACAUCACUCUUAUAGAAGAGUGUUAUAGCAAAUUCAGUUAAGACUAAAAAAUUGGAAGAUUAUGGACCAUCUCGUAAUUGCCUUAAUAGGGCUUCAUUGACUUCUUUCAGAUGAUAAAUUCUUGUUUUCACUUCACCUUUAUUCACCAGCAUCUUUUAACUGCUGAUAUGUUUAAUUUGAACUGUUUGUUUCCUCAUCUUUAUUUCCACUUGACCUAAUAUUUUGUACGAUUCCAUUAGAUGACAUUUGGGUGGAAACAAGUGAGACACGUCGUGGAAGAAUUAACUUCUAACUACGGUGGCCAAUCUUCCUUCUUCAAAUUGUAGCACUUAAAUGAUGCACGGUUUGAUGACAGGCUCCACUUUCAUAACAAAGAGUGAGAACAUGAUCACUUGGGUGUUGUGGGGACGAAGUGGCAUUCUCAAUCCAACAAGGAUCCUAUAAUUAGUGGAUUCAUCACUUUGAACUUUUUCUUUCUUCCUUAUUCUUGCUAAGGUCAAAUGCCAUCAUGUCUUGGGCCUCCCACACCUUCCUUUUCUGAACGAAAAGCUAUAGCACUUUGCUCUCUGUGCCACUUAAGGACCCAACUAAAGUGUAGCCUGUGGAUUAGUAUGAAUCGAAGAGUGGAAAUCCUUUUGAGCUAGAUGUCUAUAAAUGACCCACUGUGGUUCCUUCUUCAUAGGAAGAAGGGGGAGUACGACAACUGAGUAACGGCCUAAUUAAAAUUGUUGCAUGCCAUGUUCCUGUCCAUGCCUUGAGUAGGAGGGGAGGCAUAACCCUAGAAACUGGAAGAUAAGGUGCAGAGACAUAACCCUAAGAAUUGGAGAAUUAGGUAUCAUCUAUCUCUCUCUGCCAGUGCAGAUGGAUUGGACCCCAACAGCCCUUAAGUUAAUAUUGGCACCCGAUGAUCAAAUUGUGCUAAUAAUGUAAAAAGAAAGAGAGGAGAGGAAUACUACAAAACUUUUACAUGUUUUGGCUCACAUGCUUAUGUUGACAAGCAAAUUCAGAUUGAAGUUUGCUGCAUCAAAUUUAAAUAUGGGGGCAUGCUGGAGUACAAAGAGAACCCCUAACUUGAAAAAGGGCAUGGAAUCUCAAAUCAUGAAGACACCGGCAUGGCAGGAACCUCACGCAUCGUACCAUUUAUCUCUUAUGCGGUCGAGUUGAAUUGAAGAGACACCUAAACCAGUCCAAGACCUGUGAGCACUCUUCCUCGACUCAUUUUGCAGUCUCUGAGAAACGUCCACCGGCGAUGGGAGUCCCUUUUGGUGGGAUGCUCUUCUUCUUCUUCUUCUUCCUCCUCCUCCUCCUCCUCCUCAAGGACGAGAUAAGGUUUGGGGCUCACGGCAAUCUGUGAUGGUCACAACAGGACUACAAUAGCUUUGCCUCAUUGCUCCACACCAGUAGACGCCAAGAUGCUACCUCACUAUCAUCCAGCUGUAGCCAAGCAGACGUCUCAUGACCAUCCAUAUCCAAUGAUCCUUUUGCACAGUAAAUUCAAUCACCAGCAGUGCCAUGGAAUCUUCUUCUUCUUCUUCUUCCUCUUCUUAAUCAUAACUAAAUGUGUCUCCCUGAUGUUUUCUAAAAGAAAACACAUCUAAUAAUUGAUGGUUGCAAAAGAUAAGACUAGAUGCUUCUUGUACAGUUGACAAUUAGGACAUCAUGUGGCUUGCAGUGGUGAGGUGAGGCCCUGUGGAUUACAAUAUUUUGUGAAACACAAGUGUAUUAUGUUUAGCAUUUCUUUCCAAAAUGUCUGUCCUUUUCCUCAUCCCAUCUGUGCUUGGAAACAUCAGUAAAGACAAGGGCGGCUUCAUAAUGCUUGAGAGGGGGUCUCAGUUUUCUAUUUGGUGCCAUCAAGUGGAGGUGGAGGCAUAGAGAUGGAGAUGCCAUUCCAGUGCUUGCUUGUCCCCAUCCCAUGCACACAAUGCAUGGAAGAUUUUGCUUAUACAUGCCGGCUUUUGUUUACUUUGGCGUUGGUCAAAACCUCAUGGAUUUGCUAUAACAUGCGGUGCGAGUUGUGCCACGACGAGUGUCUGUAUCACGAUGUCAUGCAUA